rnacentral:rRNA from 1 species
UACGUAGGUGGCAAGCGUUGUCCGGAUUUACUGGGCGUAAAGGGCGUGCAGGCGGUCUGUUAAGUGCAGGGUGAAAGCUCCCGGCUCAACUGGGAGAGGUCCUUGCAUACUGGCGGACUUGAGGGGGGUAGAGGAAAGUGGAAUUCCCGGUGUAGUGGUGAUAUGCGUAGAUAUCGGGAGGAACACCUGUGGCGAAGGCGGCUUUCUGGGCCCUACCUGACACUGAGACGCGAAAGCGUGGGGAGCGAACCGG